GGCGGCGGCCCACUAGGCUGGUUCGAUUCCUACAAGCCGC
rnacentral:tRNA from 1 species